ensembl:misc_RNA Metazoa_SRP Metazoan signal recognition particle RNA
GCCGGGUGCGGUGGCAUGUGCCUGUAAUCCAAGUCACUGGGAGGCUGAGGUUGGUGGAUCAAGUGAGCUGAGGAGCUCUGGGCUGCAGCACGCUAUGUCGAACGGGUGUCCACGCUAAGUUCGGUAUCGAUAUGGUGUUCCUGGGGGAGCCCGGGACCACCAGGUUGUCUAAGGAGGGGUGAACCGGCCCAGGUCGGAAACGAAGCAGGUCAAAUCCCCCGUGCUGUCCAGUAGUGGGAUAAUACCUGUGAGUAGAUGCUGCAGUGCAGCCUUGGCAAAACAUCGAGACCUAAUCUUUU